rnacentral:rRNA from 1 species
CGCCUGGGGAGUACGGCCGCAAGGUUAAAACUCAAAUGAAUUGACGGGGGCCCGCACAAGCGGUGGAGCAUGUGGUUUAAUUCGACGCAACGCGAAGAACCUUACCUGGCCUUGACAUGCAGAGAACUUUCCAGAGAUGGAUUGGUGCCUUCGGGAACUCUGACACAGGUGCUGCAUGGCCGUCGUCAGCUCGUGUCGUGAGACGUUGGGUUAAGUCCCGUAACGAGCGCAACCCCUAUCCCUAGUUGCUAGCAGUUCGGCUGAGAACUCUAGGGAGACUGCCGGUGACAAACCGGAGGAAGGUGGGGAUGACGUCAGGUCAUCAUGGCCCUUACGGCCAGGGCUACACACGUGCUACAAUGGUGCGCACAGAGGGCUGCAAACCCGCGAGGGGGAGCCAAUCUCACAAAACGCAUCGUAGUCCGGAUCGCAGUCUGCAACUCGACUGCGUGAAGUCGGAAUCGCUAGUAAUCGUGAAUCAGAAUGUCACGGUGAAUACGUUCCCGGGCCUUGUACACACCGCCCGUCACACCAUGGGAGUGGAUUGCACCAGAAGUGGUUAGUCUAACCUUCGGGAGGACGAUCACCACGGUGUGGUUCAUGACUGGGGUGAAGUCGUAACAAGGUAACCGUA